AAAAAAUCUCUGUAUAAAUGCGGAUAAAAGCAUACUUGUUCUUUUGCAGUUUGUAUUCCAAAUCAACUCUUUAUUUCUUCUUUUUAUACUAGGUUAGACAUUCUGCCAUUUUACCAGGAAAUCUUUACAAACAUGUAGAAAAAUGUGACUGAUAUCUCUUCCCCUGCGGAUGGAGCAACCUUGGUGUAAACUGGCCAUUUUAAUUGCCUCUCUAGACGGUCUCCAGUUGAUACAUUCUUGGCCUGGUUGUUCUGCUCCAUGCCAACUGGUACGUAUGAAGGGGCUCAUUUGUGUGUGUGUGUGGGGGGGGGUGGAUAAAGUUCUUAUCUCUUAACUGAAAAUUCUUAUGGCAUUUUUAAAAGUUUAUUUAAAUAAUCUUCACAGCCAAUGAGGGGCUCAAACUCAUGACCCCAAGAUAAAGACUUGCAUGUUCUUCCAACUGAGCCAGCCAGGCAUCCCUCUCAAGGCAUUUUAAAAUGUUCUCUUCUUACUACACUUAUCACACAUUUCCUUAAAUUCUAGUUGUCUAAGCAACUGCCUUUUCAUCUACAUUAAACUGACUUUAUAUUAUGGAGUCAGACAGUUCUGUCUCUAUCACUUGCCAACUGAAGGAUCUUGAGCAAAUUACUUAAAUACCUUGAGCCUGUUUCUUUAUCUGUGAAACAGAAAUAAUAUUCCCAAGCUCAAAAUGCUGUUGUAAGAAUUAGAUGGAAUAAAGUGUGUAAAAUAUAGUACCUUUGUCAUUUAAUAAUAUCAACUUUUUUUCUUGAAAGCAGCAUCAUAUUUCUAUCUUCCUCAGCAUCUCAAUCAUGCAGACUCUCCAUAAAUGUUUGUUAAAUCAAAGAGUGGUGGUGACUUCUAGUGAUCUCCAUCUGUACAAUGAUAGUAUUCAUCUCUUAGUUAAGAAAGGACUACCAUGGUGAGACGGUUGCGGUUGCUCUUUGACUGCACCAUGGCUUCUAGCUUUACUGACUCCAUGGACACUCUAGAUUUGACAAUCUAGUUUUUACUGAAGACUUCAACAAGCCUGGCACCAGUGAAGCAGACAUGGAGGAGAAAGCCACUGUGUCUCUUGGGACUGGAAAACUAAGAAGCAGCAGUGAGAACUCUGAAAAUGCCAAGUAAGUGUUGGUCGUGAGGAAAACAAAACACACUCACCCAAUGGCAUUGACUGCAGCGCCAUCUGAAAUAAACAUCUGACAUAGGCUAAACUCAAGUUUGUUUACAUAAUCCCAGCACUGGACUCACCAUCCACCGUUCAAUAAGCACCAAAUCCUUCCUCUAAAAGCAUGGUCCUUCUAACACCAUUCAAGAAAGAGGGUACAAAUUUGGAGAUUCCAUAAAUUUCAUAAGACUCAGGACUGUCUCAAGAUUGGUCUUAUAAAACAGGAAUCCCUGCUUUAGAGUUUUGGAGAGCUCAUUCUUAAAAUUUAUGGAAACUGGUGGAGGUAAAUCCAUCAAAGUCUUUUGCAAAGUAAUCAACACACUUUCUCCAAAUUUUCAUAUGAAGCCUAAAGAGACAAAAAUGAAAUCACAGUGGUAGAGCUCACUUUGUGGGUAGAAAGUGUGGAAUAGAGAAUGAGAUGUGAAGGUUAUGUGAAAAGCAUGCAUGCUCAUAUAUGUCCCAUUGCCCAACUGACUUCAUAAAGCUUCUCUGACCUUUGGCUUCUAUUUUCCCUUCUCCAAACAAAAUACUUGUAAAAUCUCAGGAAUCCCUUCAAUAGAGAACCACAAUUGUCCUUAAUAAAAACUACAGUAGAAGAAUAAUGGGAAUAUAUGAUGCCUGCUGUGAUCUGACACUAUAGACCUUGGUUUGAGUUUUGGAUAGGUCAUUAAGGUAGUCAGAUUAAUGGAGAAAAGGAGAACCAUCAAUGUAGAGCAUUUGAUUCCAAGUGGAAUGUUCUAGCGUUAUGAUACCGCAGUCAUUCUCACCAUCUUUAAAUAGAACCAAAACUUACUCUCAGUGAAUGGUUAGCAUUCUUCUCAGAAUGAUCAAUGGUGUGUGAUUAAAACAGUUGUACAGGCCGUUGCUUCCAUACUCACUUAGGGAAGAACAGAGUACCCUAAAGGGAAGUCAGAGGACCUAUAGGGCACAGUGUCCCAACUUUGAAGCCAGGAUCCAAGUACUAACUGUCUCUAUUUGAUCAUCUUUUAAAACUAGCUUAACUGGGAUCCCUGGGUGGCGCAGCGGUUUGGCGCCUGCCUUUGGCCCAGGGCGCGAUCCUGGAGACCCGGGAUCGAAUCCCACGUCGGGCUCCCGGUGCAUGGAGCCUGCUUCUCCCUCUGCCUAUAUCUCUGCCUCUCUCUCUCUCUCUCUCUCUCUCUGUGACUAUCAUAAAUAAAUAAAAAUUAAAAAAAAAAUAAAAAAAAAAUAAAACUAGCUUAACUACCCAAUGAAUGCCCCGAUCUGUUUAUUUUUUUCAUCAGAGCCUCAAUUGUAGAAUCAUCUCAGCUGAAGUGUCUAAUGUCUAAGAAUGUCUUUUCUUUCUUUCUUUUUUAUUUCUUUUCCUAUUUCAAAUUCUGCAUAAGAUCUUCUCUAGUUUCUUAACCUGUCUGCCUUAUAUGGCCUCAUCAGCCAAGGACAGGUCCUACUGAGAGCCUCUGACUUUAGGAUACUUCCUAUGUUCCAGCCUCCCAUUCUCAUGGCUAGUUCGCCUUCUUCUAGGGGAAACCUCUCUAUAUUCUUGCAGCAAGUGCAUGGUCCUCCUGCUAGACUUGGGUCCAUUUCUCUUUG
rnacentral:lncRNA from 1 species